rnacentral:rRNA from 1 species
AUUGAACGCUGGCGGCAGGCCUAACACAUGCAAGUCGAACGAGUGGCGGAGGGGUGAGUAAUGUCUAGGAACCUGUGCGAUGGAGGGGGGUAAAUACUGGAAAAGGGAGCUAAUACCGCAUACCCUCGGAUGUGCCCAGAUGGGAUUAGCUAGUAGGUGGGGUAACGGCUCACCUAGGCGACGAGCCCUAGAUGGUCUGAGAGGAUGACCAGCCACACUGGAACUGAGACACGGUCCAGACUCCUACGGGAGGCAGCAGUGGGGAAUAUUGCACAAUGGGCGCAAGCCUGAUGCAGCCAUGCCGCGUGUAUGAAGAAGGCCUUCGGGUUGUAAAGUACUUUCAGCGAGGAGGCGUUACUCGCAGAAGAAGCACCGGCUAACUCCGUGCCAGCAGCCGCGGUAAUAC